rnacentral:rRNA from 1 species
CCUACGGGAGGCAGCAGUAAGGAAUAUUGGUCAAUGGACGAAAGUCUGAACCAGCCAUGCCGCGUGAAGGAUUAAGGCCCUCUGGGUUGUAAACUUCUUUUAUCUGGGACGAAAAAAGGGUAUUCUUACUCACUUGACGGUACCAGAGGAAUAAGCACCGGCUAACUCCGUGCCAGCAGCCGCGGUAAUACGGAGGGUGCAAGCGUUAUCCGGAUUUACUGGGUUUAAAGGGUGCGUAGGUGGGCUUGUAAGUCAGUGGUGAAAUCUCCGGGCUUAACCCGGAAACUGCCAUUGAUACUAUAGGUCUUGAAUUAUCUGGAGGUAAGCGGAAUAUGUCAUGUAGCGGUGAAAUGCUUAGAUAUGACAUAGAACACCAAUUGCGAAGGCAGCUUACUACGGAUACAUUGACACUGAGGCACGAAAGCGUGGGGAUCAAACAGGAUUAGAUACCCUGGUAGUCCACGCCCUAAACGAUGGAUACUCGACAUCAGCGAUACACUGUUGGUGUCUGAGCGAAAGCAUUAAGUAUCCCACCUGGAAGUACGAUCGCAAGAUUGAAACUUAAAGGAAUUGACGG